rnacentral:rRNA from 1 species
GCCUAUUAGUGGGGGACAACAUCUCGAAAGGGAUGCUAAUACCGCAUACGUCCUACGGGAGAAAGCAGGGGAUCUUCGGACCUUGCGCUAAUAGAUGAGCCUAAGUCGGAUUAGCUAGUUGGUGGGGUAAAGGCCUACCAAGGCGACGAUCUGUAGCGGGUCUGAGAGGAUGAUCCGCCACACUGGGACUGAGACACGGCCCAGACUCCUACGGGAGGCAGCAGUGGGGAAUAUUGGACAAUGGGGGGAACCCUGAUCCAGCCAUGCCGCGUGUGUGAAGAAGGCCUUAUGGUUGUAAAGCACUUUAAGCGAGGAGGAGGCUACUUUAGUUAAUACCUAGAGAUAGUGGACGUUACUCGCAGAAUAAGCACCGGCUAACUCUGUGCCAGCAGCCGCGGUAAUACAGAGGGUGCGAGCGUUAAUCGGAUUUACUGGGCGUAAAGCGUGCGUAGGCGGCUUAUUAAGUCGGAUGUGAAAUCCCCGAGCUUAACUUGGGAAUUGCAUUCGAUACUGGUGAGCUAGAGUAUGGGAGAGGAUGGUAGAAUUCCAGGUGUAGCGGUGAAAUGCGUAGAGAUCUGGAGGAAUACCGAUGGCGAAGGCAGCCAUCUGGCCUAAUACUGACGCUGAGGUACGAAAGCAUGGGGGAGCAAACAGGAUUAGAUACCCCUGGUAGUCCAUGCCGUAAACGAUGUCUACUAGCCGUUGGGGGCCUUUGAGGCUUUAGUGGCGCAGCUAACGCGAUA